ensembl:snoRNA SNORD24 Small nucleolar RNA SNORD24
UUCAAAUGAUGUGUAAAUAUUUGCUAUCAGAAGAUUUUUGAUGACCCUUCCACCAAGAUCACUGAUGUA